CUGCAGAGAGUUCAGUAGGGAUUGCUGGGCAUGAAAGAUAUACACAUACAUUUUAUUUGAACCCUCAGGGAGGAAGGAGACAGUACAGAUACCAAGUAGUCCCGCGACGGUUAGGAAUAUUCACCCACCACAUGGCUCGCAUAUUGAGAGAGGAAACGGAAGAUGCACCAAAAGGGUGUCGUCCUAAGCAGAGAAGUGAUGGGUGGAUGGAAAUAGAGUUGGGAGAAUUCUUUGUCAAG
rnacentral:misc_RNA from 1 species